GCAUCAAUGGGGUAGUGGUAACCUGGGUCGUUGCCAUUGUGAAAAAAGGGAAUAUCGACCUGCCGGGGGUUCGAUUCCCUCUUAAUGCA